AGCGAACGCUGGCGGCAGGCUUAACACAUGCAAGUCGAACGGGCGUAGCAAUACGUCAGUGGCAGACGGGUGAGUAACGCGUGGGAACGUACCUUUUGGUUCGGAACAACCCAGGGAAACUUGGGCUAAUACCGGAUAAGCCCUUACGGGGAAAGAUUUAUCGCCAAAAGAUCGGCCCGCGUCUGAUUAGCUAGUUGGUGAGGUAACGGCUCACCAAGGCGACGAUCAGUAGCUGGUCUGAGAGGANGAUCAGCCACAUUGGGACUGAGACACGGCCCAAACUCCUACGGGAGGCAGCAGUGGGGAAUAUUGGACAAUGGGCGCAAGCCUGAUCCAGCCAUGCCGCGUGGGUGAUGACGGCCCUAGGGUUGUAAAGCUCUUUCGGCGGGACGAUAAUGACGGUACCCGCAGAAGAAGCCCCGGCUAACUUCGUGCCAGCCGCCGCUGUAAC
rnacentral:rRNA from 1 species